rnacentral:rRNA from 1 species
UGAGCAAUCUGCCCUUCUCAUCGGAAUAAGCGUUGGAAACGACGUCUAAUGCCGAAUACGACCUCCUUUCGCGUGAUCGGAGGUGGAAAGCUCCGGCGGAGAAGGAUGAGCUCGCGGCCUAUCAGCUUGUUGGUGGGGUGAUGGCCUACCAAGGCGACGACGGGUAGCCGGCCUGAGAGGGUGACCGGCCACACUGGGACUGAGACACGGCCCAGACUCCUACGGGAGGNAGCG